rnacentral:tRNA from 1 species
GGAGGAGUGGCCGAGAGGCUGAAGGCGGCGGUCUUGAAAACCGCUGGCCCGCAAGGGCUCGCAGGUUCGAAUCCUGCCUCCUCCGCCA